CAGAAGGCAAGGAAGCAAGUCUUCCUACAUCCCCAGCAGCAGGUCACUCCUUGAGCCAGUAGGAUUCGAAACAACAUUAAGACCAAGGCUGAUCCUACAUAGCCACAGGAUUCUGAGGGAAUGGUCUUUGGGUGAUGAAUGAAGGAAGAUGAGUUUCAGCCAAGCCUUUCACUGAUGUUCUUCUGUGCAGGGAGUCUGAAUCACUCCUAGUCUAAAAGGGAUGAAAUUGA